GCGGCUACGGGAGGCUGUGACACGCGGUCCGCAAUCUGGUCGCCGGGGCCGCGCAUAGCCAAUGGCGAGACCGACCCGCGAGCGA
rnacentral:ncRNA from 1 species